UCUUCUUCUUUCUUUCUUUCCUUUCUUUCUUUCUUCCCCACUGCCCUGCUUCCCUUUUCUUUUAUUUCUUCUUUCGGCCGCCCUCCAUCCGCCUCACCACCUUGCACGCCGCCGCUCGGCCACCCUCGCAGCCGAGCAGCGCAGCUCGUUUCUCUCCGCUACUACCCGCCACGCGCCACCGUCUCCCUUACUCUCUCCAACCCCACCAAUCUCCCUUUCUCAUCCAUUGCCGCACGCCGCUGACCAGCUUCUAUCGCCGCUGCCUCCGAGCUCCAAGCUCCACCUCACGGACCACCUUCAGCAGCUCCAAAGUUCGCCGCCAGCUCCCAGCCGCACCUGCCUCGCAGCUCCCCCUCUGCUCUCUCUCCACUUCGCGUGCCUCCGCCAUCGACCUCCACCAGCACCCGAGCUUGCGCUAUACCAGAAGCGUUCGCCGCCGCCCCUGCUCUCACUCUCUCCGACGCCACCAGCAGCCGCGGAGCUGCCCGCCGUUCCCCUCACUCUCCCUUUCAAGCUCAUGCUCUGCCGCGGCAGACCGUCACACCAUUCCCACAUGUCCAAAUUGACAGGUGGAGGUAUUGACUCGUCAACCUCGAUUAGUAUUCUGCUGGUCCUACUAUGGCUGGAAUUUGCGCUUUUGUUUCGUGGGUUUCUUGAUAGCUAAAAGCAGGGGGUGAUUUAGGCAUUUUUUUUUUUGGGUUAAUUUUGGUGGAACUGAGUUUAUUUGCUGCUCCAUUUGGGGAUAUUCUCUGGUAUUGAUUACAUUGUUGUGCAUUAAUUGGGUUUCGCCUACUUGAAGCCUCUAUUUUCAUCUGUGGGGAUUAAAUUUGAGUUGGCUAUGUGCUUUAGUUUUUCUCUGUGCGGGCACCAGAGGUACUGGUUGUGGUGUUGACUAAAAUUUCUUAAUCCUUGAUGCUUGACUGCCUACUCAACUCUUGGGUUUUAGUGCUUAAAUUGUUUCUCGAAAUCUAAACGGUCGUUGCUAGAAUUGCCUGUUGCUUCGCUUAAUUGCUGAUUUUGGCAGGUUGAAUUGGGGAAUUGACUGUCCAAUUGGAGGCAGCUGUUACCAUUUUGGGACCAAUUGUGUCUAUUUUGCUGUGAUUUGUGUCUAAUUGUGGGUAAUUUGCUUGUUAAAUUGGGAGGUGCCUAUAACGCUGAAAUUUGCUUAUUGAAGUUAGUUGCCUCUGAUUGUCUUGUUUAGGAGCAUUUUAUUCUUUUGGUUUCCUUUACUAAGCUAUUUGGAGCACUUGUUGCAUGAUUGGACUGCCUUGAUUCUGAAUUUGACUACAUUUGGACCACAGGGGCUCAUUGAUUGCAUUUGUUAUUAGUGUUGAGGUAUUCGUAUAACCUGUGGGUGAUUGAAUUGUGCCUAUUGUUCAUUGGGUUGGUUUUAAACAAAAAAUUGUUAUUACUUUGAAAUUCCUGUUUCCAUUAUCUGUUGGCAAUUGUAGUCCCUUGUGAUUAGAGUGACAUCUAGAGAUCAUGGUAAGGCCAAGAUCCGCUUCUAGGUUUAGGACACCUAGACACUCGCAGCCUCCUCCUACCCCAGGGGCUGACGAAUGGCACCGGCUCCAGAUGCGAGUUGAGCGACUAGUGACUUGGAUGACCCACAUUGACGUCAACCUGCAUCACAUGCGCAGAAUUUGGCAGCAUUUAUGCCCCAUGCAGGCCUUGAUCCUCAAUUUCCACCUGAACCGCCCCUGUUUUGAUGACUUCAGGGAAGUACCGUUGCCCCUCUCUUUUCUUCUGUUUUUACAUUAUCACAUUGAGGGCAAUGUGUGACUUAGGUGUGGGGGGGUCAGUUUUGGGUGCUAGUAUUUUCAAUUUUCGAUUUUUAGGUGUUUUUCCUUUAUUUUUAGUUUGAUAUUUAUCCCCUUUUUCGUUUAUUUUCUUUUCUUUUUUCUAGUGGUCAGUCUUCAUAUGAAUACCAAGUUUUGAUGCCGGAUUGUUGUCCCUAAUUCUGUUAUUGCCAAGUUUUAGUGAUAAAAAGGUAUCAAGUUAAUGUGGUUGAGUUCAAGAACAUCUCUUUGGUGAAUAGCAAUAAUUGCUUAACUUUUCCAAUUUUUGGUUAACUUUUCUAGGCAUAGGGAAUGAUUGUUGGCAUUUUUCAUGUGAAUUGGUCCAGUUAUUAAUUUUAGUUCUCCAUGUCUGAAAAUUUGAGGCUAGCUGCUGUUAUUCUUGUGUUACUUUUAGAUAUCGUGCUAUAUGGUUGUAAAUAAGAGUUGACUGUACUCCGCUAGUAGUUACUACUGAGUAACCGGAGAUCUUCACCUAAAGUGUUGAUCUUCGUGUCAAAAGGUAGUAGUUGCUAUGAGUGCGUGGUCCCGUAGCAAUUAGAGCUGAGUAACCGGGCUCCUCCAUCUGUGAAAUGUUGGAGUUCGCGUCAAAAGGUUCUAAGGGUUAUAGACUAAGUCUUUUGUUACUCAAAAAAAAAAAUAAAAAAAACAAAAAAAAAUACCAAAAAAAAAGUAAAGAUUGUGUUAGUAUGUGAAUAAGUCAGCUUGCCGGUUUGUGAUCUUAAUGUCGAGAUUUUGGUUAAUAGCUGGACCAUUUACUGAUAAAUGUGAGCAACCAUUCCUUUUUCUUAGAUUAGUUUGCUUUAAAUUGGAGGAGUUGGUGGUUGAGAAGCUAACCGGAGUGGUUUUUCUUGGAUCUUAACUGUGAUGCUUGAUAUAUGUUUUUCUGGGUAUCUUGGCAAUAUGAUAGUUAGAGCAAUAGCCAUAGUCAAAUUUUGGUGUUCAAUUGCUGUUCUUAUGCUUGAGGACAAGCAUGAUUUAGGUGUGGGGGGAAUUGAUAGGGCAUAAUUUGUUGUUAAUUUUAUGGUUAAUUUCCCUCUUUAUCUUUGCCAAAUAUUGUUUUAAUUAGUAAUAUUUACUUAUAUUUGGUAUUUGGACUUAAUUCCAGGGAUUGGAGCAAGAAACUACAAAAAAAGUAGGGACUUGCUCCAUAAGUGGAAGACUUCAAGAAGGCUCCAUCGACCUGGCCCACAAAGAGAGGAAGAGACGGACUGCAUUUGCUUUCUGAUUAGGAGAUUAGACCUCUACUGGCAAUAGGAAACAAGGAGCAAUUCAGCAGGACCCCACCUUGUGGACUUUGUUUCUCUCAAUACGGCAGAGUUUCCUUCUUGGACUUUGACUCUUAAUUCGGCAGGGCUCCAAUUCUUUUGCUACUUGACUUCUAAUCCGUGGGGAUCACUAGAUAGCAUGAGUCAUUUCCCUUUGGCUUUAAAAAGACAAACGUGUAGAAGGUUUUCUAAUCACUAGUUUUAGAGCUUUUGAGCAUAGUUUAGUUUUAUUCUUUCUUGGUUCCUUUGAUGGCCAGGACUUCAGUUAAAUUACUUGGAGAUUUUCUCAUGAGGCGUGGCUAAGUUUUUCUAGUCGAAGGUCAAUUUGAGGAUUCGGUUUCGAAUAUCUGUGAGAUCUAAUUAUUUUAUUUAUUUCUUUUAUUUAUUGGUAUUUGUGCGUUUUCUGAUUUAAUUGCUUAUGCUUGUUAUGUUAUUUGAAUGUCA
rnacentral:lncRNA from 1 species